rnacentral:rRNA from 1 species
AGAGUUUGAUCCUGGCUCAGGACGAACGCUGGCGGCGUGCUUAACACAUGCAAGUCGAACGGAAAGGCCCUGCUUGCAGGGUACUCGAGUGGCGAACGGGUGAGUAACACGUGGGUGAUCUGCCCUGCACUUCGGGAUAAGCCUGGGAAACUGGGUCUAAUACCGGAUAGGAGCCAUUUUUAGUGUGAUGGUUGGAAAGUUUUUUCGGUGUAGGAUGAGCUCGCGGCCUAUCAGCUUGUUGGUGGGGUAAACGGGUAGCCGGCCUGAGAGGGUGGACGGCCACAUUGGGACUGAGAUACGGCCCAGACUCCUACGGGAGGCAGCAGUGGGGAAUAUUGCACAAUGGGCGCAAGCCUGAUGCAGCGACGCCGCGUGGGGGAUGACGGCCUUCGGGUUGUAAACUCCUUUCGCUAGGGACGAAGCUUUUUGUGACGGUACCUAGAUAAGAAGCACCGGCUAACUACGUGCCAGCAGCCGCGGUAAUACGUAGGGUGCGAGCGUUGUCCGGAAUUACUGGGCGUAAAGGGCUCGUAGGUGGUUUGUCGCGUCGUCUGUGAAAUUCCGGGGCUUAACUCCGGGCGUGCAGGCGAUACGGGCAUAACUUGAGUACUGUAGGGGUAACUGGAAUUCCUGGUGUAGCGGUGAAAUGCGCAGAUAUCAGGAGGAACACCGAUGGCGAAGGCAGGUUACUGGGCAGUUACUGACGCUGAGGAGCGAAAGCAUGGGUAGCGAACAGGAUUAGAUACCCUGGUAGUCCAUGCCGUAAACGGUGGGCGCUAGGUGUGAGGGUCUUUUCACGACUUUCGUGCCGUAGCUAACGCAUUAAGCGCCCCGCCUGGGGAGUACGGCCGCAAGGCUAAAACUCAAAGGAAUUGACGGGGGCCCGCACAAGCGGCGGAGCA